CACACACACAGAGGGAAGAAGGGCAUAUGAAGACUGACGCAGAUUGGAGUAAUGUAGCUAUAGCCAAGGAACACCAAGAAUUGCUGGGAUCUGCUAGAAGCCAGGAGAGCAGCUGGGAGAUGAUUUCUCUUUCAGAGCCUCCAGAAGGAACUAACCCUAUGGCCACCUUGAUUUAGGACUUCUGGCCUCUUGGACUAUGAGGAACAGCAACAGUAUACAUGCCACAUCUAAGGAGGGGAGGAGGGGCCCAUCUGUGUUCACCCCACUGCUUCAGGGUCCUUCUAACAAAGAGAUUGUGCUGCGGUGGCCCCAAGAACCUUCCAGCAGGUAACACAGGUCCUUAAGAAGCCUUCAGAGCUGCAUCAAAGUGCAGCAGGGGAGACUACAGUGUGUUGUUCCCCUCUUCCUCUGUCACUUUCCAUUCCCCCGGCUCCCUUCCUUCCAAACCUGCUCUUUUCUGCCCAUUCUCAGGAAAACCUUCCCUCAGCUCUACCACUCUCUCGAGCUAAUCUUUUCCAUUGUGCUCCCAAGCAAACUCUUUUCUUUGAGAUAGCUUGGGAAAAUGAUGAAAGGGCAGUGGUGAAGCAUCCUUAAGUUGAAUGGGGCUUUUAAAAAAAGUUGUAAAAUACACAUACAAUUUACCACUUAAACCAGUUAAAAGUGUGCAAUUUAGUGGCAUUUAGUACAUUCACAGUGUUGUAAAACCAUCACCACUAUGCAGCUUCAGAACAUUUCCAUCUACCCGUAAAGAAACCCGCAUCAGUUAAGCAGCCACUCCCCUUCCCUCCUCCCACUCAGCCCCUAGCAAUGACUAAUCCACUUGUUGUCUCUAUGGAUUUGCAUAUUCUGAAUAUUUUAUAUUCAGUAUGUGACCUUUUGUGACUAGCUUCUUUCACUUAGGUUUAUCCACUUUGUAACACACAUCAGUUCUCCAUUCUUUUUUAUGACUGGAUAGUAUUCCAUUAUAUGGAUAUACCAUAUUUUGUUGAUCAGUUAAUGGAUAUUUAGGUUGUUUCCACCA
rnacentral:lncRNA from 1 species